rnacentral:misc_RNA from 1 species
ACGAAAAACAUUGAUGUGCGAGGUACCCCCUUCCGAGGGGGUACCCGCCUCCAUCAACCAACCCCUUAUACUUUUUUUUAACCAUUCUUAUUCACUUUGUUUUUCUAUUGACCCGAAAGGCGAGUCCGAUCGGGUGAAUAUAAAUCAAAACUAAAAA